rnacentral:rRNA from 1 species
AACGAACGCUGGCGGCAUGCCUAACACAUGCAAGUCGAACGAGACCUUCGGGUCUAGUGGCGCACGGGUGCGUAACGCGUGGGAACCUACCCUUAGGUUCGGAAUAACUCCCCGAAAGGGGUGCUAAUACCGGAUAAUGUCUUCGGACCAAAGAUUUAUCGCCUUUGGAUGGGCCCGCGUUGGAUUAGCUAGUUGGUAGGGUAAAAGCCUACCAAGGCGACGAUCCAUAGCUGGUCUGAGAGGAUGAUCAGCCACACUGGGACUGAGACACGGCCCAGACUCCUACGGGAGGCAGCAGUGGGGAAUAUUGGACAAUGGGCGAAAGCCUGAUCCAGCAAUGCCGCGUGAGUGAUGAAGGCCUUAGGGUUGUAAAGCUCUUUUACCCGGGAUGAUAAUGACAGUACCGGGAGAAUAAGCGCCGGCUAACUCCGUG